rnacentral:rRNA from 1 species
UACGUAGGUGACUAGCGUUGUCCGGAUUUACUGGGCGUAAAGAGCGCGCAGGCGGUCGUUCAAGUCGGGUGUGAAAGCCCCCGGCUCAACUGGGGAGGGUCAUUCGAUACUGAUCGACUCGAAGGCAGGAGAGGGAAGCGGAAUUCCCGGUGUAGUGGUGAAAUGCGUAGAUAUCGGGAGGAACACCAGUGGCGAAGGCGGCUUCCUGGCCUGUUCUUGACGCUGAGGCGCGAAAGCUAGGGGAGCAAACGGG